UGAAAGAGAGCUAGACUCUGUGUGUGUAGGCAAGCAUGCUGGCAGCAUUAAAUGAGGUCUGCGUCUGUGGGUGUGUCACGUCUGUGAAUUUAUGAAUGGGCAGACGAUGUGUGGUACGUGUGGCCGUGGAUGUGACGGAGAGACUGUGAGAGGGAGAGAGAGAGGGAGGGAGAAAGAGGGAGGUAGAGAGAGAGCGACACGGAGGACAAGAGCACACACCAGCAGCUCAUCCCCAUCAAAGCAGAGAGAGGAGAGAGGAGAUCGCUAGAAUAAAAACAGAGACCAGACCACUGACCUCACACCAACCCUUUGAACAUCACCAUCAAACACUCCAGCGCAGCCAUGGAACAGAAGUCCAGCUCCCCCCAGAGGCAUCCUGUGAAGAGCAGAUCCAAGUCCACAGAGGAGAUCCAGCAAGCCAAGAAGGCCUUCCACACUCCUCAGAAGUCCCUUCCUGGACGGUCGGACCUAGAAAAAGUGAAGGAAGGCCCAGAGGAGUCUGAGACCCCGUCCUCGUCCACUGAGGAGUUUAAGUGACGGGAGCAUGAGGGCUAUAGCGGAAAGCACACUCAUAUCUCCUACUUCUCCCUGUCCAAACAUGCUCAAAACACACACAACACAUAACAUAUUAGGCAGUUUUUGCAAAGAAAGAUUUCUACGAUGAUAGAGGGCUGUUGGAAUCUUGAAAGUAUGAUAAAAAAAAUCCCCUUCCACAGCACACCUGCAUAUUCAUGUGUUGCCAUACUAUGCUGAGAGGCACAUGCCAGCUGAAUGUCCAUUCAUAAUAAAGUAGUUAUGCUGAGA